rnacentral:siRNA from 1 species
CUUGGUACUUGUGUCUUGAUAG